RGAUGCGAUCAUACCAGCACUAACGCAC
rnacentral:sRNA from 1 species